CUCCAGGCUAUAUCUACACCUGGUUUAAGCAGGUGAAGCGCCAGUGAAGUCAAGAGGUAUCUGGAAACACUAGCUGUGAAUUUGGCCCUUCUGACUUGACUUAACCUGGUAAAGGGAGGAGGCAGGGUUGAGCCCCAUUAAUCCAAGCAGAUUAAUCGGGCUGGUUUGACUAAAUCGAGAUUUGGAUAAAGCAGGGCGACUCCUCACUGGAAUGGCUGUAUGUGUGGGGCCAGUCUGAGACCGGGGGAUGUUCAGAUCAGAGGCUCGACCUCAUGCCCCAGUGAGAGGCUGUGCCACAGCCCCGUCGAAUGCAAACCUGAUUGAAGGCCCCACACUGCUUGCAGAAUGCUGGGCUUCUAGGCAAGAAAAAAGCCAGACAUCCUGCUUCAGGCCCCGCUCUGCCAAGCACCACUUUCACAAGCCCCCAAGUAUGUGUCUCCCUCCCCUCGUCCCCAGGCCUUGCCUUGGGCAUGGGGAUUUUCAUGGCUAGAAAAUAGGGCACGUUGCUGUCUUCUUCCCAUGUGCUGCUGGAAACCUACCUCAGGCUUUUGCGUGAUGCCAAGCGUCCGGUCCCACUGAACACCUGGAUAGAAGUGGGGCACUGGGGAGCCUGGUGUUAUUAACGGCUCUGGGGUGAGGAGCUGAACAUGUUGCGGUUAUUGACAAGUGGCCUAUUUGUCUUUUCUCCGUCCUUCCUUUUAACCGUUUCCAUACCAGCCCCUCCUCUUUGGUGCUUCCCUUCCCUUUUCCUUCUUUGCUUUCCAUGCAGCGCCGAGACCUUCAGCAUUUCAGUCUUCCAGACCAAGAGCACUUUAAAUUAAAAAUCGGUUUUGUUUUCAUGCUGUAUUGAGCUUUCUCUUCCUGUUGUAUUACAGCAGGGGUAGGCAACCUAUGGCACGCAUGCCAAAGGCAGCACGCGAGCUGAUUUUCAGUGGCACUCACACUGCCCGGGUCCUGACCACCGGUCCGGGGGGCUCUGCAUUUUAAUUUAAUUUUAAAUGAAGCUUCUUAAACAUUUUAAAAACCUUAUUUACUUUGCAUACAACAAUAGUUUAGCUAUAUAUUAUAGACUUCUAGAAAGAGACCUUCUAAAAAUGUUUAAAUGUAUUACUGGCACGUGAAAUCUUACAUUAGAGUGACUAAAUGAAGACUCGGCACAGCACUUCUGAAAGGUUGCCAACCCCUGUAUUACAGUUUUGCACCGAUAUUGGCAUUAGCUGAGUUUUCUCUGACCAGUUCUAUUUGCAUGACUAGCAGAGAGGCUAAUAAAGUAACAGGGUAUCUCA
rnacentral:lncRNA from 1 species